CUCUUCCACAGAUGCCCACUGACAAUGAAGGUAAGAAAAGUUUUUGUACUUUACAUAGAACUCCUCUAUUUCUACCUCCUCUCCAUUCUCCAUCUUUUUCUUGACUGAGCGGCUACUCAUGAUUUUCUCCACAACAGGACCUUCAGCAUCAGCAGACUCCUGUUGCUCUGACUGAGAAGUAUUUGAAGGAGAGUCUCUUCCAGCAGCAUCAGCAUCAU
rnacentral:lncRNA from 1 species